UUGAACGCUGGCGGCAGGCCUAACACAUGCAAGUCGAGCGGAUGAAGGGAGCUUUCUCCUGGAUUCAGCGGCGGACGGGGGAGUAAUGCCUAGGAAUCUGCCUGGCAGUGGGGGAUAACGUCGGGAAAGGGGCGCUAAUACCUCAUAGGUCCUGGGGGGAAAAGUGGGGGUUCUUUGGACCCAACGCUACCGGAUGGGAUUGGGUCGGGUUAGCUAGUGGGGGGGGUAAAGGCCUGCCAAGGCGAGGAUCCGUAACGGGUCUGGGGGGAUGAUCAGUCACACGGGAGGUGGGCCACGGUCCAGACUCCUACGGGAGGCAGCAGUGGGGAAUAUUGGGCAAUGGGCGAAAGCCUGAUCCAGCCAUGCCGCGUGUGUGAAGAAGGUCUUCGGAUUGUAAAGCACUUUAAGUUGGGAUGAAGGGCAGUAAGUUAAUACCUUGCUGUUUUGACGUUACCAACAGAAUAAGCACCGGCUAACUUCGUG
rnacentral:rRNA from 1 species